CAUGACGAACGCUGGCGGCGUGCUUAACACAUGCAAGUCGAACGGAAAGGCCCUGCUUUUGUGGGGUGCUCGAGUGGCGAACGGGUGAGUAACACGUGAGUAACCUGCCCUUGACUUUGGGAUAACUUCAGGAAACUGGGGCUAAUACCGGAUAGGAGCUCCUGCUGCAUGGUGGGGGUUGGAAAGUUUCGGCGGUUGGGGAUGGACUCGCGGCUUAUCAGCUUGUUGGUGGGGUAGUGGCUUACCAAGGCUUUGACGGGUAGCCGGCCUGAGAGGGUGACCGGCCACAUUGGGACUGAGAUACGGCCCAGACUCCUACGGGAGGCAGCAGUGGGGAAUAUUGCACAAUGGGCGGAAGCCUGAUGCAGCAACGUCGCGUGCGGGAUGACGGCCUUCGGGUUGUAAACCGCUUUCGCCUGUGACGAAGCGUGAGUGACGGUAAUGGGUAAAGAAGCACCGGCUAACUACGUGCCAGCAGCCGCGGUGAUACGUAGGGUGCGAGCGUUGUCCGGAUUUAUUGGGCGUAAAGGGCUCGUAGGUGGUUGAUCGCGUCGGAAGUGUAAUCUUGGGGCUUAACCCUGAGCGUGCUUUCGAUACGGGUUGACUUGAGGAAGGCAGGGGAGAAUGGAAUUCCUGGUGGAGCGGUGGAAUGCGCAGAUAUCAGGAGGAACACCAGUGGCGAAGGCGGUUCUCUGGGCCUUUCCUGACGCUGAGGAGCGAAAGCGUGGGGAGCGAACAGGCUUAGAUACCCUGGUAGUCCACGCUGUAAACGGUGGGUACUAGGUGUGGGGUCCAUUCCACGGGUUCCGUGCCGUAGCUAACGCUUUAAGUACCCCGCCUGGGGAGUACGGCCGCAAGGCUAAAACUCAAAGGAAUUGACGGGGCCCCGCACAAGCGGCGGAGCAUGCGGAUUAAUUCGAUGCAACGCGUAGAACCUUACCUGGGUUUGACAUGGAUCGGGAGUGCUCAGAGAUGGGUGUGCCUCUUUUGGGGUCGGUUCACAGGUGGUGCAUGGCUGUCGUCAGCUCGUGUCGUGAGAUGUUGGGUUAAGUCCCGCAACGAGCGCAACCCUUGUUCACUGUUGCCAGCACGUUAUGGUGGGGACUCAGUGGAGACCGCCGGGGUCAACUCGGAGGAAGGUGGGGAUGACGUCAAGUCAUCAUGCCCCUUAUGUCCAGGGCUUCACGCAUGCUACAAUGGCUGGUACAGAGAGUGGCGAGCCUGUGAGGGUGAGCGAAUCUCGGAAAGCCGGUCUCAGUUCGGAUUGGGGUCUGCAACUCGACCUCAUGAAGUCGGAGUCGCUAGUAAUCGCAGAUCAGCAACGCUGCGGUGAAUACGUUCCCGGGGCUUGUACACACCGCCCGUCAAGUCAUGAAAGUUGGUAACACCUGAAGCCGGUGGCCUAACCGUUGUGGGGGAGCCGUCGAAGGUGGGACUGGU
rnacentral:rRNA from 1 species